rnacentral:rRNA from 1 species
CCUACUGGCGGCAGCAGUGAGGAAUAUUGGUCAAUGGCCGAGAGGCUGAACCAGCCAAGUCGCGUGAGGGAAGACGGCCCUACGGGUUGUAAACCUCUUUUGUCGGGGAGCAAAGAGAGUCACGUGUGACUCAUUGAGAGUACCCGAAGAAAAAGCAUCGGCUAACUCCGUGCCAGCAGCCGCGGUAAUACGGAGGAUGCGAGCGUUAUCCGGAUUUAGUGGGUUUAAAGGGUGCGCAGGCGGAGGUGCAAGUCAGCGGUCAAAUUGCGGGGCUCAACCCCGUCCUGCCGUUGAAACUGCAUCCCUUGAGUGCGCGAGAAGUAUGCGGAAUGCGUGGUGUAGCGGUGAAAUGCAUAGAUAUUAGGAGGAACACCAGUGGCGAAGGCGGCCUGCUGGGCUUUUACUGACGCUGAGGCUCGAAAGCGUGGGUAGCAAACAGGAUUAGAUACCCGUGUAGUC